UGGACCUACGGGAGGCAGCAGUGGGGAAUAUUAGGCAAUGGGCGCAAGCCUGACCCAGCAACGCCGCGUGAAGGAAGAAGGCCCUCGGGUUGUAAACUUCUUUUGUCAGGGACGAAGAAAGUGACGGUACCUGACGAAUAAGCCACGGCUAACUACGUGCCAGCAGCCGCGGUAAUACGUAGGGGGCAAGCGUUAUCCGGAUUUACUGGGGGUAAAGGGAGCGUAGACGGCAAUGCAAGCCAGAUGUGAAAGCCCGGGGCUCAACCCCGGGACUGCAUUUGG
rnacentral:rRNA from 1 species